UGUGUUAAUAGAAAUAUUAAAAUCUGAUGGGUUCAUUCAUGAAAAUGGAAUAGAUAAUUAUGACUUUUCCAUAGAACAAACCUAUUUUAUUAAUCCAUAUACCACGUAUCUUGUUAACGAGGCUUAUAAAUUGGCCAAUAAAAUUGAAGGAAUAUUUGACUGGUGUAA